GACGAACGCUGGCGGCGUGCUUAACACAUGCAAGUCGAGCGGUAAGGCCCUUUCGGGGGUACGACGAGCGGCGAACGGGUGAGUAACACGUGGGUGACCUGCCCUUAGCUCUGGGAUAAGCCUGGGAAACUGGGUCUAAUACCGGAUAUGACUCCAUGACGCAUGUUGUGGGGUGGAAAGCCUUGUGCGGCUAGGGAUGGGCCUGCGGCCUAUCAGCUUGUUGGUGGGGUGAUGGCCUACCAAGGCGACGACGGGUAGCCGGCCUGAGAGGGCGACCGGCCACACUGGGACUGAGACACGGCCCAGACUCCUACGGGAGGCAGCAGUGGGGAAUCUUGCGCAAUGGGCGAAAGCCUGACGCAGCGACGCCGCGUGGGGAUGACGGCCUC
rnacentral:rRNA from 1 species